rnacentral:rRNA from 1 species
UACCCGCAGCUCAAGUGGUGGUCAUUAUUAUUGGGCCUAAAGCGUCCGUAGCAGGCUUGUUAGAUGCCUGGGUAAAUCGAUGCGCUUAACGCUUCGAAUUCCGGGUAGACCGGCAAGCUCGAGACCGGGAGAGGCGUGAGCUACUCGAGGGGUAGGGGUAAAAUCCUGUAAUCCUUCGGGGAGGACCAGUGGCGAAGGCGUCACGCUAGAACGGCUCUGACUGUGAGGGACGAAGCCCUGGGGCGCAAACCGG